AAAAAGUCAUUUUGGUUCACAGCAUAAAUAAAAAGUUAAAUUUUGUGAGUAGUGUAGUAUUUUUGUAGUGUAAUCACGACAGCAGCAACACGCAGCACGGUUGCAUCCAUUCUGGGCAAUUGAUAUUUUUGCAUCUAUAUAGUCUUAAUCGGAUCUCUGACCAUCUCUUUUUCAAUCAAUUGCCAAAGUCAUUCGUUCUGCUAAACUUGUUCGCACAAACCCAGCAAGUUCCGCAGUAAUUUGCCGGAAAGUGAUCUUAAAUUUAAAUAAAUUGCCAGAAGAUUUAAGUAAGAAAAUAUGCUUGCCUUUGAGUCACCACGGCAACACAAUUGACCCACCGACACACAAUUCGGUAACCAAUACGGUGGAGAACUCGGUUGAGAAUUCCUUGCCCCAUACGGUGGAGAAUUCGGUGCCCAAUACUGUGGAGAAUUUGGGAACCACCUCUGGUGGCGCACCGGGCACGCGUGCAUUAAAGCGUUCGAUGACCUCAGAAGAGAGGGGCCAGACUGGAGCCACAAACGGUCCGACAAAUGAAUCUACUGAUGCC